GGUAUUGUUUACCCCACGAUAGGCCCCGGAAAACUUAUUGAGUGUGUAAACAGACA
rfam:Lactobacillus mellis strain Hon2 genomic scaffold Hon2_scaffold1, whole genome shotgun sequence.